CACGAGACGCGACGUACGGCCCGUGGGCCGUGCCGCUGAGCUCCCUGGGCUCGGCGCCUAGACCCGGCGGCUGAGCGGAGCCACGCCGCAUUGUCGGCCAGAAAAAGUCCUGGAAUUCCUUGAACUCUCGACUCCAGAGAGUCGAGAUUCCACUUGCUGAUGCGUAUGUGCUGAAACACAAGUCGUGAAGAUGAUUGGCCAAGGCCAGAGUAAACCAAUCUUUGUCCACAUGAGCCCUGCCUUAAGGACAGCUGAGGCCCCUUUCCCAGAGGCGCUACCGUGGAAUCCGGUCAUGCAUGCAGCAGUUCUGAGCUAUAGUCUCUGAAAGUAGCUGAGGUCAUUCGUUACAUUUUCUUCUCUAUCGCUUCUGGAAAUACUACUAUCUUUUGUUUCUGGAAUGCCUGGGGGGUCAUCCUCUGGGGCGCUGGUACAGAUAACCACUCUUGAUUUAGAUGCUUCCUUUCUCCUUGGCCUACGGCUGGGUCUCUAACAGGUUUCCUAGUCUGCCCCGGAAACAGGACGAAGCCCUUGCCUUCCUUUACCCUUCACUCCGCCCACUGGCCCACCGAGCCCGGCCUCAGAAGCCCACUGGGCUGCACGGGUUGUGUUGCCCUCCUUCCCUGGACAGGCCGGACCAGAACCUUGUGUUCACAACACUGUGUUUCUGCCCCCCCAUUGCUUUUUUCCAGAGACUGACCUCCCAAGUUCAGAUUCCUCUCUGGACUUCCACAGCUGGGUCGGCAGCCCCUCACAUUCCUAAGGUCUGGCUUUUUUUAUUCAUCCCUGAUUCAGUCCAGUACCGUUCAAGCUUUAGUCAUGAACAGAGUCUGUACAUUCUACUUCCAGAUUAACUGUCCUGAGAAAAAGCCCCUGUAAGAUGACUUUUUAAAAUUCUGUAGUAUUUAUAAUAUAGUGUUAUAUGUAUUAAAGAUCGUGUUGAGCAUACUAAAGUUGAAAUCAUUCAUUCAAAAAAUAUCUGAGUACUUACUGUGUGCUAGAGAACUUUCUGAGUUCUAAAUGUCACCUUGUGUUUUGAAUGGGUUUUUUUUGGUCCCCUUCUUAUGGACUGAAUUGUGCCCCCAUAUUCGUAUGUUAAAGCUUUAUUGACGUAUACACUGAACCCCCAGUGUGGCUGUAUUCAGAAUAAGGAAGUAAUUAAAGUUAAAUGAGGUCAUAAGGGUAGAGCCCUGAUGCACUCUGAUUAGUGUCCUUACAAGAAGAGAACUCACCCUUUCUUUUCCAUGAGGACACAAUGAGAACGCAGUCUUCUGCAAACCAAGAAGAGAGCUCUUACCAGAAAAUGAAUCAGAUGGCACCUUGAUCUUGGACUUCUCAACCUCCAGAACUGAGAAAAUAAAUUCUGUUGUUUAAGCCCCCCA